AUAAUCCAGCACUACCCUUGGAGCUAAAUGACGCUUGGAUGUGGACGAUUUGGGUCAAUGUGGGUGAUGGAAGACCAGCCUCGGUAGAGUUACUUCAUUGGUGACAAGAAGAAACAAAAAAUGCCGCUGAAGAAAUUCUCUUGCCACAAUGGUCUCUGAAUUGGGAAGAGGAUUGAUGAGGGUUGUGGGAGAAAAUACAGGUCUCGGCCUCCCCAUGACAUGGCCUCAAAACAGACAACACAAAAUGUCUGCACUUAGCCUACCCACAAUGCCUCAAAUUGGCCAAACCAGCCACCCCAGACUUCACACAUACCUCAGGACAUGAUUCAUCCAGCCCAAGACCAAGAGAAUAUACUUGUUCAGAUCCUUCCAAUAAACCUAGUGGUAACAGUUUGCUGCUCAGCCAUGCUGCAGAAGACAAUCGAUGCAGUACUUUGCUAUUUAUGUGGAGUAAU